rnacentral:miRNA from 1 species
GACUAGAGUUCCACUCGUCCAU